UCCCUGGUAGUAUAUCGGUUAGUACACGCGCCUGUCAUAUUUCAUGUGUGAAUUGCUCCGCGCGAAAGCUGGGUUCGACUCCCAGCCAGGGAG